UACGGGGGGAGCAAGCGUUGUUCGGAUUUACUGGGCGUAAAGGGCGCGUAGGCGGCGCAACAAGUCACUUGUGAAAUCUCCGGGCUUAACCCGGAGCGGCCAAGUGAUACUGUCGUGCUAGAGUGCGGAAGGGGCUACUGGAAUUCCUGGUGUAGCGGUGAAAUGCGCAGAUAUCAGGAGGAACACCGAUGGCGAAGGCAGGUCUCUGGGCCACUACUGACGCUGAGAAGCGAAAGCGUGGGGAGCGAACAGG
rnacentral:rRNA from 1 species